rnacentral:lncRNA from 1 species
AUGCGCGAAUACCCUUAACGGGUCAAAUAGUUAGAAAAUAGUUAAGUCGAAUGUAUGUUGAGUAUGGUAUGUAAUUUAGUUUAUUCUAGUUUCAUUUGAUGAAUUAUGUAUGAACUUGGAAGAUCAUGCAUAAAUUAGUUGUACAUUGUGCAUAGCUAGUAGUACGCACGCCAAGUGUUUGAUGAAAUGUCUAGGUGAAGUUAGGAUGUGAGAUUGUAUGAAAUGGCUUGACAUAUAUGAAUGAAACAUGAUAAUGAUGUAAUUAGUAGUAUACUAACUUGAGGAAUGUGCUUUAGAUGGAACUCAUACAAGAAUUCGGGUUGAAGGUAUGUGUUGGUCAAGACUAUGCAUUAGAAGCUUGUACAUUGUGCUUGAACGGGCGAUGCUCCCCAUGUGUUUUUAUUAAUCACUUAAUUUCAAUCAAGAAGUGAAUGUGUACUAAAUAUAUAAUAUAUGACCAUGCUAGUAAAGGAUGAUGUUAUGAAUUACGUUAGGUUGUCUAACUGAACAAUGUGGUUGACAAUUUAUGUUGUAUGCGUGUUAGUGAAAGUCAAUGUAGAUAAGAGCUGGAAAAUGUGUAUUAAUAUGAAUAAGCAUGAGUACUAACAUUAUUAUGGCAUGACGACAUGAAAGGAUAGGAACCACACUAGCAUGGACCAAGCAUGAAAGGCUAACGGGUCGAAAUGGGGCAAGGAAGCGGUUACGAACAUGGAUGCACGAGGUAAGUGAUUUCCGUAAUCACUUCGUAGUACAAGUAAGUAAUAAAGUGUUGUAAUGAAUUAAAUAUGAUGUUUGAGGUCAAAUAUGUGUUAAAGUCUUUCGUCGUAAAUGAUGGGUUUAAGGUUGACCAAAAUGCCCAUGAUGGGUAUUUUGGGGUAAACGAACUUAAAGGUGGUUUAGAAGCAAGUUGUUCGAUUAGAGUAAUGUUUUGGGCAGGUCUGGAAGUGGGGAUGAUGGUUUGGUCAGUCAUAGACCAAUUAAUGCGCGAAUACCCUUAACGGGUCAAAUAGUUAGAAAAUAGUUAAGUCGAAUGUAUGUAAGUUAAGGAUUUCCGUAAUCCGGAGGUAAGAUUUUAUGUUCAUAUGAUAGAAUGUGAAUUUACAAGCAUGUAGGAAGAAACGGGAGGUCAAACGGGUAAACGGUUCAAAAGUUACGUGCGUUUUAGUGCGUACGGACGACGAAACGAACCUGCAGAAAACUGCAAAAACUAGAGGGCGUCGCCGACGGGUAGGGGUACCCAAAGGUGGGAUCCUAA